rnacentral:misc_RNA from 1 species
AAAGAAAAAAACAUGCAUUCCCAUUACUCGUAUCAUUCUGAAGAAAUUUUAUGAAUAAUAGCAGAUAGAAAAUGUAAGAAAAUGUAAUUAGACGAUGAGAUUCACAGCUAGAGAACUAAUUAUAUUAGUUUGUAAUAUUUUUCCAUCAUGCCAAAUAAUAUUUUUCCAUCAUGCCAAAUUCUAUGCAGAAAUGAAUCAGGG